rnacentral:pre_miRNA from 1 species
AUGUGGGGCAGUGUGUCUUUAAGUAGGGUAAAGUACUCUUUAAAAAUGGGUCCUAGAUAUUUUUUCCUUUAACUCAAGUCUCUUAC